GACGAACGCUGGCGGCGUGCUUAACACAUGCAAGUCGAACGGAAAGGCCCUGCUUUUGUGGGGUGCUCGAGUGGCGAACGGGUGAGUAACACGUGAGUAACCUGACCUUGACUUUGGGAUAACUUCAGGAAACUGGGGCUAAUACCGGAUAGGAGGUCCUGCUGCAUGGUGGGGGUUGGAAAGUUUCGGCGGGUGGGGAUGGACUCGCGACUUAUCAGCUUGUUGGUGGGGUAGUGGCUUACCAAGGCUUUGACGGGUAGCCGGCCUGAGAGGGUGACCGGCCACAUUGGGACUGAGAUACGGCCCAGACUCCUACGGGGGGCAGCAGUGGGGAAUAUUGCACAAUGAGCGGAAACCUGAUGCAGCAACACCGCGUACGGGAUGACGGCCUUCGAGGUGUAAACCGCUUUCGCCUGUGACGAAGCGUGAGUGACGGUAAUGGAUAAAGAAGCACCGGCUAACUACGUG
rnacentral:rRNA from 1 species